CUGAGUUACACUCAAACCCUGUUUAAGAAUCUGUUGCUUCGGAGGCGCCCCUCGGGAGGGGAUUUGCUUCGGCCGCCUCCAAAAGCACCUUUACUCUGAACUGAUUUAUUUAUAUUCAAUUCCAAAAAAAAUC
rnacentral:misc_RNA from 1 species